rnacentral:rRNA from 1 species
UAGGGAAUCUUCCGCAAUGGGCGAAAGCCUGACGGAGCAACGCCGCGUGAGUGAUGAAGGUCUUCGGAUCGUAAAACUCUGUUAUUAGGGAAGAACAAAUGUGUAAGUAACUAUGCACGUCUUGACGGUACCUAAUCAGAAAGCCACGGCUAACUACAUGCCAGCAGCCGCGGUAAUACGUAGGUGGCAAGCGUUAUCCGGAAUUAUUGGGCGUAAAGCGCGCGUAGGCGGUUUUUUAAGUCUGAUGUGAAAGCCCACGGCUCAACCGUGGAGGGUCAUUGGGAACUGGAAAACUUGAGUGCAGAAGAGGAAAGUGGAAUUCCAUGUGUAGCGGUGAAAUGCGCAGAGAUAUGGAGGAACACCAGUGGCGAAGGCGACUUUCUGGUCUGUAACUGACGCUGAUGUGCGAAAGCGUGGGGAUCAAACAGG